rnacentral:lncRNA from 1 species
AUAACUAUUGUUUCUCUGUGGCUCUUGUUCUUACAGUAUUGAUCACAGGGUGCCUACAGUUCCUGGAAAAUAAUAAAAAGUCCUCCAGCCAACUGAAAGUUAUCAUCCCAAAGAGAAUAAUGAAAUGGCUAAAAUGUUGAAAGGUUCAUAUUCCUAUGGGUCAAGGCUACACACUUUUAGUCAUCAUCUUGCAGUGCCUCUGGGAUAGAAAAGAGAAAAACCUAAGCCAUUUACACUGAGAGAAAUGUUUUUAUCUCAGUUCCUGAGUUGAG